rnacentral:tRNA from 1 species
GGGCCCGUCGCCUAACCUGGAUAUGGCGGCAGAUAUAAAAGCUGUAAUGAUCUGGGUUCAAAUCCCAGCGGGCCCG